rnacentral:rRNA from 1 species
AUUGAACGCUGGCGGCAGGCCUAACACAUGCAAGUCGAGCGGAUGAAGGGAGCUUGCUCCUGGAUUCAGCGGCGGACGGGUGAGUAAUGCCUAGGAAUCUGCCUGGUAGUGGGGGAUAACGUCCGGAAACGGGCGCUAAUACCGCAUAAGUCCUGAGGGAGAAAGUGGGGGAUCUUCGGACCUCACGCUAUCAGAUGAGCCUAGGUCGGAUUAGCUAGUUGGUGGGGUAAAGGCCUACCAAGGCGACGAUCCGUAACUGGUCUGAGAGGAUGAUCAGUCACACUGGAACUGAGACACGGUCCAGACUCCUACGGGAGGCAGCAGUGGGGAAUAUUGGACAAUGGGCGCAAGCCUGAUCCAGCCAUGCCGCGUGUGUGAAGAAGGUCUUCGGAUUGUAAAGCACUUUAAGUUGGGAGGAAGGGCAGUAAGUUAAUACCUUGCUGUUUUGACGUUACCAACAGAAUAAGCACCGGCUAACUUCGUG